rnacentral:rRNA from 1 species
AACGAACGCUGGCGGCAUGCCUAACACAUGCAAGUCGAACGAGACCUUCGUGUCUAGUGGCGCACGUGUGCGUAACGCGUGGUAACCUGCCCUUAGGUUCGGAAUAACUCCCCUAAAGGGGUGCUAAUACCGGAUAAUGUCUUCGGACCAAAGAUUUAUCGCCUUUUGAUGGGCCCGCGUUGGAUUAGCUAGUUGGUAGGGUAAAAGCCUACCAAGGCGACGAUCCAUAGCUGGUCUGAGAGGAUGAUCAGCCACACUGGGACUGAGACACGGACCAGACUCCUACGGGAGGCAGCAGUGGGGAAUAUUGGACAAUGGGCGAAAGCCUGAUCAAGCAAUGCCGGGUGAGUGAUGAAGGCCUUAGGGUUGUAAAGCUCUUUUACACGGGAUGAUAAUGACAGUACCGGGAGAAGAAGCUCCGGCUAACUCCGUG